CCUACGGGGAGCUGCAGUGAGGAAUAUUGGUCAAUGGCCGGAAGGCUGAACCAGCCAAGCCGCGUGAAGGACGAAGGUGCCAAGCAUUGUAAACUUCUUUUGUCAAGGGACAAAAUCAGGCUCGAGAGCCUGACCGAGGGUACUGGAAGAAAAAGCAUCGGCGAACUCCGUGCCAGAGGCCGCGGGAAUACGGAGGAUGCGAGAGUUAUCCGGAUGUAUUGGGUUUAAAGGGUGCGUAGGCGGAAUGCCAAGUCAGAGGUAAAAUCGCGGGGCUCAACCUCGAUCCGCCGUUGAAACUGGCGUUCUUGAGUGGGCGAGAAGUAUGCGGAAUGCGUGGUGUAGCGGUGAAAUGCAUAGAUAUCACGCAGAACUCCGAUUGCGAAGGCAGCAUACCGGCGCCCAACUGACGCUGAAGCACGAAAGCGUGGGUAUCGAACAGGAUUAGAUACCCGAGUAGUC
rnacentral:rRNA from 1 species